AUGUAUGAGAGGUACAGGAAAAAAAUACAAACUAGAUGGAUGUACGUCCUUAUAAAUGCGUCCAUAGCAUGUCGGUCUGAUUGCAAAGGUGCAAACGCGAGCCUCGGCGCAGAGGUCAGCCCACGGCGAGAGCUCAGCGGACGGUCGGAGCGUCUCCACCUCCCCGUGGGGUUGUCCAAGGAGUAUCUUGUCUUUCCCAGCAGCCGAGGCCCUUCACCCAAGAUGCAUCUUCUGGGAGACCCUGACGCUGUCUCUGUCUUUAAGGAGGACAGCAUCGUCCCAGGAUCUCAAUUCCUUCCAGCUCCCGAGUGGACCUCGGGAGUGUUUCCAACACGCCGAGCUCCCGUGCACUCUGCAAACACCGCUGGGCGCUGGGCAGGCGCCAGUGAACCUGAUCAGCCCUGCCUCCCCGCUGUUUCAGGAGGACAAGGUGCGUGAGCACCCUGAAAGGGAGAAAAAGAGAGGCAGCGGGCCAUGCACUUCUUAGGUGAGCAUACCUGGAGGUCUUCCCGGAGGAGGGGGUGGGGGAGCUGUUUCAAAGGUGCCGUUGACGUAGGAGCCGUAGGAGAAUGAAACACCCCCGUAGUCAGACAGCAGCACAUAUGAGGCAAAGUUAAGUAACCUCCCCUCCAGGCAGAGAACAAAAGCAGUUAGCCCAGCCCGCACACAAGGCCGUCAGAGCCGCACAAAGAGCUUUACAACAGCCCAAAUCGGCCGCCACCGGGACUAGCCAGCUUCACCGUGCUCGUCCCUCUGCUCCCGAAGCCACCGUUUGGGACACGUCCCUGCCCCAACUGUGAAAGGGACACAAAAACCAGCUGUUUCUGCUAUUGAACCCCGAGCUCAAGCCUCCCCCUGCCGAGCGAGACAGCUCGGGUGUUACUUUCACUUUGCAAACCGGGCCUGACAACAAAGCCUUCCCUGAGCUCUGCCGGGAGGCGCUGCCGGCAUUUGGCGAGACACCGUCCCCAGGAGCUGGUCCCGAGCCCCAUUUCUGGGUUCCCGGGACACGCAUGGGCAGAUUUCUGGGGUCUUUUCCUUUCUGUGCUCCGACACACGGGUGUGCACACCCGGCCCGGCCACAAAGCAACCCCUCGCUCUCCAGGACCUUCCCUUUGCAAAGCUCUCUGAACCGGGCCCUCCUCCUCCUGGAGCUCAGACAGUUCUGAGGCUUUCUGGUUUGCGGGGGAAACGGGGAAGGAAAUCUGGGAUCUGGGCAGGAGCUAAGACCUUAUUUCUGCUUUUUCGCUGGUUCACCUUGGAGACGCUCUGGGUGCAUCAUUGUGCACAGGACAGGCAGGGAGUGUGGGGUCUCCAGGUGUGGGGACUUACUAGGUCCCUGCGGGAGGAGUACUGGUGCUGGGCACCAUGUCAGGCAAAACUCUCUGGAAUUCACCGUGUGUGUUCCUUCACCCGGCGACCCUUAUCCAUGUGCAUUUUCUCUAAAGAAAACCCCAGAUCUUUCAAAUCCACAGAGGGUGGCCCCCGGCUGCCCCAAACUCCUCUCCUGCUCACGGAGACUCUCCUUCUCGCUUGGCUUUGCCCCUUUUGCUGCUCCCNNNNNNNNNNNNNNNNNNNNNNNNNNNNNNNNNNNNNNNNNNNNNNNNNNNNNNNNNNNNNNNN
ensembl:lincRNA